ensembl:snoRNA small nucleolar RNA SNORA2/SNORA34 family
CUGGCCCUGAAUCAAGGCCGGCAGCUUCCUGACACUGUUGGUUUCAAGCAGGAACCUAAAGAGAUGUCUUUCUGCAGUCUGCUGGCCAUUGCAGAACUUGGGCAGUAAGUGGUCAAUUCAUUAGAAAGAAAUAGCU